GACGAACGCUGGCGGCGUGCUUAACACAUGCAAGUCGAACGGAAAGGCUCCAGCUUGCUGGAGUACUCGAGUGGCGAACGGGUGAGUAACACGUGGGUAAUCUGCCCUGCACUCUGGGAUAAGCCUGGGAAACUGGGUCUAAUACUGGAUAUGACCUUUCUCCUUAUGGGGUUUGGUGGAAAGUUUUUCGGUGUAGGAUGAGCCCGCGGCCUAUCAGCUUGUUGGUGGGGUGAUGGCCUACCAAGGCGACGACGGGUAGCCGGCCUGAGAGGGUGAUCGGCCACAUUGGGACUGAGAUACGGCCCAGACUCCUACGGGAGGCAGCAGUGGGGAAUAUUGCACAAUGGGCGGAAGCCUGAUGCAGCGACGCCGCGUGGGGGAUGACGGCCUUCGGGUUGUAAACCUCUUUCAGCAGGGACGAAGCGUAAGUGACGGUACCUGCAGAAGAAGCACCGGCUAACUAUGUG
rnacentral:rRNA from 1 species